CCUACGGGAGGCAGCAGUGGGGAAUUUUGGACAAUGGGCGCAAGCCUGAUCCAGCCAUGCCGCGUGCAGGAUGAAGGCCUUCGGGUUGUAAACUGCUUUUGUACGGAACGAAAAGGUCUGGCCUAAUAAGUUGAACUCAUGACGGUACCGUAAGAAUAAGCACCGGCUAACUACGUGCCAGCAGCCGCGGUAAUACGUAGGGUGCGAGCGUUAAUCGGAAUUACUGGGCGUAAAGCGUGCGCAGGCGGCUAUGUAAGACAGAUGUGAAAUCCCCGGGCUCAACCUGGGAACUGCAUUAGUGACUGCAUAGCUGGAGUACGGCAGAGGGGGAUGGAAUUCCGCGUGUAGCAGUGAAAUGCGUAGAUAUGCGGAGGAACACCGAUGGCGAAGGCAAUCCCCUGGGCCUGUACUGACGCUCAUGCACGAAAGCGUGGGGAGCAAACAGGAUUAGAUACCCUGGUAGUCCACGCCCUAAACGAUGUCAACUGGUUGUUGGGUCUUCACUGACUCAGUAACGAAGCUAACGCGUGAAGUUGACCGCCUGGGGAGUACGGCCGCAGGUUGAAACCUNAAUGAUGAGNNGNGAGNGCGAGGNGACGACGAGGGAGAG
rnacentral:rRNA from 1 species